rnacentral:tRNA from 1 species
GCCCGCGUGGUGGAAUUGGUAGACACAGGGGACUUAAAAUCCCUAGGCGAACGCCGUGCCGGUUCGAGUCCGGCCGCGGGCA